AAUAAAAUAUAUUUUUUUUAAAAAUUGAAAUGCUAUAGAGAAGGUUAGUAUGGCCCUUCUGCAAGGAUGCCACUCAAACUCGUGAAGCAAUCAAUAUUUAA
rnacentral:snRNA from 1 species